CCUACGGGCGGCUGCAGUGAGGAAUAUUGGUCAAUGGUCGGGAGACUGAACCAGCCAAGCCGCGUGAGGGAUGAAGGUACAGAGUAUCGUAAACCUCUUUUGUCAGGGAACAAAGGCGGGGACGUGUCCCCGGAUGAGUGUACCUGAAAAAAAAGCAUCGGCUAACUCCGUGCCAGCAGCCGCGGUAAUACGGAGGCUGCGAGCGUUAUCCGGAUUUAUUGGGUUAAAAGGGUGCGGAGGCGGACUGUUAAGUCAGCGGUAAAAGCCCGGGGCUCAACCCCGGCCCGCCGUUGAAACUGGCAGUCUCGAGUGGGAGAGAAGUAUGCGGAAUGCGCGGUGUAGCGGUGAAAUGCAUAGAUAUCGCGCAGAACUCCGAUUGCGAAGGCAGCAUGCCGGCUCCACACUGACGCUGAGGCACGAAAGCGUGGGUAUCGAACAGGAUUAGAUACCCGAGUAGUC
rnacentral:rRNA from 1 species